rnacentral:rRNA from 1 species
AUUGAACGCUGGCGGCAGGCCUAACACAUGCAAGUCGAGCGGAUGAAGGGAGCUUGCUCCUGGAUUCAGCGGCGGACGGGUGAGUAAUGCCUAGGAAUCUGCCUGGUCGUGGGGGAUAACGUCCGGAAACGGGCGCUAAUACCGCAUACGUCCUGAGGGAGAAAGUGGGGGAUCUUCGGACCUCACGCUAUCAGAUGAGCCUAGGUCGGAUUAGCUAGUUGGUGGGGUAAAGGCCUACCAAGGCGACGAUCCGUAACUGGUCUGAGAGGAUGAUCAGUCACACUGGAACUGAGACACGGUCCAGACUCCUACGGGAGGCAGCAGUGGGGAAUAUUGGACAAUGGGCGAAAGCCUGAUCCAGCCAUGCCGCGUGUGUGAAGAAGGUCUUCGGAUUGUAAAGCACUUUAAGUUGGGGGGAAGGGCAGUAAGUUAAUACCUUGCUGUUUUGACGUUACCAACAGAAUAAGCACCGGCUAACUUCGUG